ACUAUUUUGGCAGAUAAGUGCAAUGGAUUUAGAAUCUUUUUAUGUAGAAAUAUUAUUCUAUAGAUGGUA
rnacentral:tRNA from 1 species